UACGAAGGGAGCUAGCGUUGUUCGGAAUCACUGGGCGUAAAGCGCACGUAGGCGGAUUUGUCAGUCAGGGGUGAAAUCCCGGGGCUCAACCUCGGAACUGCCUUUGAUACAGCAAGUCUUGAGUUCGAGAGAGGUGGGUGGAAUUCCUAGUGUAGAGGUGAAAUUCGUAGAUAUUAGGAAGAACACCGGUGGCGAAGGCGGUUCUCUGGGCCUGUACUGACGCUGAGGAACGAAAGCGUGGGGAGCGAGCAGG
rnacentral:rRNA from 1 species